rnacentral:lncRNA from 12 species
AGAGUCUACAUGGUCCACAGAUUUUCAGUGGAUCUGAGGUUGGACUUCAGGGGAUCAAGAAAUUCCUUGAAGUGAAGUGCAAUCAUUGACCUAAAUUUUUGUAGAUAAAUUUUUCUAAGACAAGGACCCAUAUCUUUCAUCAGAUUAUCAAGAAGAUCGAGAUCCCAAAAAGCUAAGGAGCUACUGUCCUGGAAGGGAAGAAAACCCACUCCUGGCUUCAAAAGACAGCCAUUGGCUCUAUAACCCUGGCCAGAGUCCAGGCAUAUUGUGUGAUGGGAAAAUAUUAAAUCAACAGUUUGGAAACUGAAGUUCUGCCUGCAGUUCCUGCUCUUGUCUUUGGUACCAGAAACAAGUUACUCGAUUUCUCUUGGCCCCAAUUCCUUUUCUUGUUCAACAGAUAGUUGUUGAAACCUACCAUGAACACUGUUUUACUGGGGAUUUGAAGGUGAAGAAAGCAUACACAGUCUUUGUUCUUGUGGAACUGACAUUCUAGUAGGAAAAUGAGAUAUGACCACAAAGAGAUAGGAACCCAACUUCAUCAUGUGAAGUCACCCAUAUUUUUAUGUCUGUGGCUUCUUUGUCUGUAAAAUUG